AGAGUUUGAUUAUGGCUCAGGAUGAACGCUGGCGGCGUGCCUAAUACAUGCAAGUCGUACGGAGCGCUUCAGCUUGCUGGAGAGCUCAGUGGCGAACGGGUGAGUAAUACGUAAGUAACCUGCCUGCAAGGACUGGGAUAACACCUGGAAACGGGCGCUAAUACCGGAUAGGUAACAGAGGGGCAUCCCACUGUUAUUAAAGGUUAAAACACAAGCAGAUGGGCUUACGGUGCAUUAGUUAGUUGGUGAGGUAACGGCCCACCAAGUCGACGAUCGGUAGCCGACCUGAGAGGGUGAUCGGCCACAUUGGGACUGAGACACGGCCCAAACUCCUACGGGAGGCAGCAGUGGGGAAUAUUGGGCAAUGGGGGGAAAAACCCCUGACCCAGCAACGCCGCGUGAGGGAAGAAGGUUUUCGGAUCGUAAACCUCUGUCCUUGGUGAAGAGUGAGAGACGGUAGCCAAGGAGGAAGCCCCGGCUAACUACGUGCCAGCCGCGGC
rnacentral:rRNA from 1 species